rnacentral:lncRNA from 1 species
CUUUCCCAUGCUGUUCUCAUGAUAGUGAAUAAGUCUCAUGAGGUAUGGUGCUUUUAAAAACGGGAGUUUCCCUGCACAAACUCUCUCUCUCUUUGCCUGCUGCCAUCCAUGUAGACGUGACUUGCUCCUCCUUGCCUUCAGCCAUGAUUGUGAGACCUUGCCAGCCACUUGGAACAGAAUGUUAUGAGGAAUGAAAUGAGAAUUAUAUCUAUCAAGAACUCGACAUAGAGUCAGAGAUCAGUACAAGUGGAUUUAGGAGAACAGAUAUUUGCAUCUUUCAAGGCUUUGGGAUGAUGCUGUCGAAUUACUCGUAAGAUUUUACCAUUUUAAAGUCAUGUCAAA